rnacentral:rRNA from 1 species
GACGAACGCUGGCGGCGUGCUUAACACAUGCAAGUCGAACGGAAAGGCCCUGCUUUUGUGGGGUGCUCGAGUGGCGAACGGGUGAGUAACACGUGUGUAACCUGCCCUUGACUUUGGGAUAACUUCAGGAAACUGGGGCUAAUACCGGAUAGGAGCUCCUGCUGCAUGGUGGGGGUUGGAAAGUUUCGGCGGUUGGGGAUGGACUCGCGGCUUAUCAGCUUGUUGGUGGGGUAGUGGCUUACCAAGGCUUUGACGGGUAGCCGGCCUGAGAGGGUGACCGGCCACAUUGGGACGGAGAUACGGCCCAGACUCCUACGGGAGGCAGCAGUGGGGAAUAUUGCACAAUGGGUGGAAGCCUGAUGCAGCAACGCCGCGUGCGGGAUGACGGCCUUCGGGUUGUAAACCGCUUUCGCCUGUGACGAAGCGUGAGUGACGGUAAUGGGUAAAGAAGCACCGGCUAACUACGUG